rnacentral:rRNA from 1 species
UACGGAGGGUGCGAGCGUUGUCCGGAAUCAUUGGGCGUAAAGGGCGCGUAGGUGGCGGGACAAGCGUGCGGUGAAAGCUCGGGGCUCAACCCCGAGUCGGCCGUGCGAACUGUUUUGCUUGAGCACUGUAGAGGCAGGCGGAAUUCCAGGUGUAGCGGUGAAAUGCGUAGAUAUCUGGAGGAAUACCGGUGGCGAAGGCGGCAUCCUGGACCGGCAUUGACGCUGAGGAGCGAAAGCUAGGGGAGCAAACGGG